rnacentral:tRNA from 1 species
GGAAGCGCUCGGGGGCUGGUGCCUCCUGCGGUCUUCAAAACCGUUGUCCGGGGCGUGAUGCGUCACGGGGGUGGGUUCGAUUCCCAUGCGCUUCCGCCA